rnacentral:lncRNA from 1 species
CUGAAGCUGGAACAUAAACAGGUUAUGUGGGAACUAAGGGUCUUUGAAAAUGAAAACACCCAGGUCUCCGAAGAGUUCAGUGAGCUGAAUAAGGAAAACGUCAUCUAUCGCGGUCUACACAGCCAGCUCCUGAUGGAACAGACUCAGCUGAACAAGAAGGAGGACACGAAGAGAUAGGAGAAAAAGAAACUGCCGGAGGAUUGGGUCCUGCUGAAGCACCACUUGGAGGACU